rnacentral:ncRNA from 2 species
AAAAUAAACGGGAAUGAGGUUCUCCCCAGGUACAACAAUACCUAAACUGCUAUUAGCUGAUGACUUCUGUUUUAGG